AUACGUAGGUGGCGAGCGUUGUCCGGAAUUAUUGGGCGUAAAGAGCAUGUAGGCGGCUUAAUAAGUCGAGCGUGAAAAUGCGGGGCUCAACCCCGUAUGGCGCUGGAAACUGUUAGGCUUGAGUGCAGGAGAGGAAAGGGGAAUUCCCAGUGUAGCGGUGAAAUGCGUAGAUAUUGGGAGGAACACCAGUGGCGAAGGCGCCUUUCUGGACUGUGUCUGACGCUGAGAUGCGAAAGCCAGGGUAGCGAACGGGAUUAGAUACCCCGGUAGUCCUGGCCGUAAACGAUGGGUACUAGGUGUAGGAGGUAUCGACCCCUUCUGUGCCGGAGUUAACGCAAUAAGUCCCCCGCCUGGGGAGUACGGCCGCAAGGUUGAAACUCAAAUGAAUUGACGGGG
rnacentral:rRNA from 1 species